rnacentral:tRNA from 1 species
AGACUGAGUUUCCCUCUUGUCACCCAGGCUGAAGCGCAGUGGCACGCUCUGGGCUCACUGCAACCUCUGCCUCCUGAGUUCAAGAGAUUCUCCUGCCUCAGCCUCCCAAGUAGCUGGGAUUACAGGCCCAUGCCACCACACCCGGCUAAUUUUUGUAUUUUUAGUAGAGACAGGAUUUCACCAUGUUGGCCGUGCUGGUCUUGAACUCCUGACCUCAAGUGAUUUGCCUGCUUUGGCCUCCCAAAGUGCUGGGAUUACAGACAUGAGUCACCAUGCCCUGCCUGCAGCUUCUUCUUGAAGUGUUCUGGACUUGGAAGAUUUGUUGAAUUACUAUGAAGUCACAUCUAAAGUUUGAAAGAGAUCGGGUCUCACUAUUUUGCCCACGCUGGUCUUGAACUCCUGUCCUCAAGCAGGAUAUCCUCCUGCCUUGGCCUCCCAAAGUUCUGGGAUUACAGUCUCGCUCUGUCGCCAGGCUGGAGUGCACGCUGGAGCGCGAUCUUGUCUUACUACAACCUCUGCCUCCCAGAUUCAAGCGAUUUUCCUGCCUCAGCCUCCCGAGUAGCUGGGACUACAGGGACGCACCACCAUGCCCAGCUAAUUUUUGUAUUUUUAGUAGAGAUGUGGUUUCACCAUGUUGGCCAGGAUGGUCUUGAUCUCUUGACCUCGUGAUCCACCCGCCUCGGCUUCCCAAAGUGCUGGGAUUAUAGGCAUAAGCCACCACGCCUGGCCUGAAAUUAUUUUUCUAUACAGUUCUUAGAGGAAGUGUUUGGGUCACCUACAUAGGCAUGUAGUUCUUGACACUGGUUACUAGAGGAUUUAUAGAGGAUGUUCAUAUAUUCAACAAGCAUUUGUUGAAUACCUAUUAGGUGCUAGCCAUGGAAAUAUGGGAUUGAAAAAAACAGACAAAAAUCCCUAAUCUCUCUUACAAUCUAGUGAGGACAAUCAGACAGUACACAAAAUAAGCAUAAUAUAUAGUAAUCAUGUGGUAGUAAGUUCUAUAGAGCAAAAACAAGUUUAAAGAAGGAGGUUGGGGGGAGUGUUGAGAUGCAUAAGGUUUGCAGUUAUAAAUGUGGUGGUUAGGGAAUCAUUUGCUGAAAAAUGAACAUUGAGCAAAAACCUGAAGGAUGUUAAAGGAAUAAGAUACAUGUAAUCCAGAUGAAAGUUUUUUGGAUAAAGGAAAGAGCAAUUGCUAAAUCCCUGAGGUGGGAGUGGGCUGUUCAUAAGACAGCAAAGCAGCCAGGGUAGCUGAGUGAUUGACAGCGGAAGAUGGAAAAUGGGGAAUAGUUGGUGUAGGACCUAGUUGUGAGGAUAUUGACUUUGUUUUUUUUCCAAGACAGAGCUGUGCUCUGUCGCCCAGGCUAGAGUGCAGUGGCAUGAUCUUGGCUCACUGCAAUCUCCGCCUCCCGGGUUCAAGCAAUGCUCCUGCCUUAGCCUCCCCAGUAGCUGGGAUUACAGGCACCUGCCACCAUGUCCAAUUAAUUUUUGUAUUUUUAGUAGAGAUGGGGUUUCGCCAUGUUAGCCAGGCUGGUCUUGGACUCCUGACCUCAAGUGAUCUGCCCGCCUCAGCCUCCCAAAGUGCUGGGAUUACAGGCGUGAGCCACCAUGCCCACCCUAGGAUAUUUACUUUUAUUUUGAAUAAGGAUGCCACUGGAGGCCAGACGUGGUGGCUAACGCCUAUAAUCCCAGCACUUUGGGAGGACGAGGCGGGUGGAUCACGAGGUUAGGAGAUUGAGACCAUCCUGGCCAACAUGGUGGAACCCCGUCUCUACUAAAAAAAAAAAAAAAAUUAGCCAGGUGUGGUUGCAUGCGCCUGUAGUCCCAGCAACUCAGGAGGCUGAGGAAGGAGAAUCACUUGAACCCGGGAGGUGGAGGUUGCAGUGAGCCGAGAUCGCCCCACUGUACUCCAGCCUGGGUGACAGAGCAAGACUCUGUCUCAAAAAAAAAAAAAAAAAAAAAUGCCACUGGAGAGCUUUGAGGAGAGGAUCAGUCUGGCUACUGGGUUGGGAAUUAAUCAUAGCAGGCAAAGGCAAAAGAAGUGAGGUUAGUUAGGAGGCUUUACAACAACCCAGAUGAGAGAUGGGAGGUUUUAGCCAGGGAGAUGGAGAUGUUGAGAGAGUAGCUGGACUCAGGAUUGUGACAGUGGACUGAAGGAAAAGCAGGUUUUGGGGGAAGAUUGCAUUUCUCCCUUCAACUUCAGUUACGUAGAUCACCCAUAUGCCACACAACUGCAACUCUGUAACAGCCAAUUUUUAGCUUCUUCCUUAUCUAAGCCAUCCUGUAGGCCAUAGGAAUUAAAACUAGGUUGGAUCAAGGAAAAGUGAAUGCUAGAUCCAUACAAAACUAUUUGGAUAUUUGCCUUUGUAUUUUAUUGUUUUGAAAUUAUUUUUAAUGGUUCAAUAAACUCUUACUAGAACUACAAGCAAUAUAAUUAUUUCCUCUGCUUUAUUAGAAAUGUUUUUGUAAUCAUGUUAAUUAUAUUACUUUUAACUAUAUAAGGCUUGUGUCUCUUUUUUAUAAAUUGAUGUUUAUAUCCUCUGUAAGAUAAAUAUAAAGGCUUUUUGUUCAUAUGAGGAUGUGCUGUAAGAUUGCAGGGAGUAUAAAAAUUGGCAAUGGAGUAGGUGACUUGUAUUAUUAGUCUGAUCUUAAUGUUGUAACAUACUGAUCAUGCAAAAUAUAUAAUUAGUUUGUUUUUGCUAUUUAAUAUGUGUAGGACUGUAACAAACAGACUAGAGAAGAUGGCCAUAAGUUACAAGAAAGCAAGUAAAUUACUAUCUAAUUAAAAGUAUUUGAUUCUAAUACUAGCAGAGUUCUGUCUAGAAAAUAAAUUAACUUUCUGUAUGCUUUUUUUGGUCUCAAUUUUCCAAUAAUUUCCCUCAACUCUGAUAUGUGUCUGUUGAAUAAUAUUUCUGAUGUUAAGAAUUAAAGGGGGUGUAGAUCAGUGGUAGGGCGCACGCUUAGCAUGCAUGAGGCCCUGGGUCAAUCCCCAGCACCUCCACAAAGGUUUUCUGGCUGGACACGGUGGCUCACACCUGUAAUCUCAGCAUUUUGGGAAGCUGAGUUGGACAGAUCACUAGAGGUCAGGAGUUCGAGACCAGCGUGGCCAACAUGGUGAAACCCUAUUUCUACUAAAAAUACAAAAAAAUUAGCCGGUCACGGUGGCACACACCUGUAAUCUCAGCUACUUGGGAGGCUGAGGCAUGACAAUCGCUUGAACCUGGAAGGCGG